rnacentral:rRNA from 1 species
AACGAACGCUGGCGGCAGGCUUAACACAUGCGAGUCGAGCGCCCCGCAAGGGGAGCGGCAGACGGGUGAGUAACGCGUGGGAAUCUACCCAUCUCUACGGAAUAACGCAUGGAAACGUGUGCUAAUACCGUAUACGUCCUUCGGGAGAAAGAUUUAUCGGAGAUGGAUGAGCCCGCGUUGGAUUAGCUAGUUGGUGGGGUAAAGGCCUACCAAGGCGACGAUCCAUAGCUGGUCUGAGAGGAUGAUCAGCCACACUGGGACUGGGACACGGCCCAGACUCCUACGGGAGGCAGCAGUGGGGAAUAUUGGACAAUGGGCGCAAGCCUGAUCCAGCCAUGCCGCGUGAGUGAUGAAGGCCCUAGGGUUGUAAAGCUUUUUCACCGGUGAAGAUAAUGACGGUAACCGGAGAAGAAGCCCCGGCUAACUUCGUGCCAGCCGCCGCCGUAAUAC